UUUAUGUAUGGAGGAUGAAAC
rnacentral:rRNA from 1 species